rnacentral:tRNA from 1 species
GAGUGUAUAGCUCAUUGGUAGAGCGCAUGCUUGGCAUGCAGGAGGUCCUGGGUUCAAUUCCUAGUACCUGCA